rnacentral:rRNA from 1 species
UCCGGUGACUACAGCAUUGAGGCUACACCUGUUCCCAUCUCGAACACAGUAGUUAAGCUCUUUUGCGCCGAAGAUACUUGGUGGGCAACUGCCCGGAAGAAUAGGUCGUUGCCGGUU